GUCGAGAAUUUUUCACAAUGGGCGCAAGCCUGAUGGAGCGACGCCGCGUGGGGGAUGAAUGGCUUCGGCCCGUAAACCCCUGUCAUUCGGGAGCAACACCUCGUGUAUAAUAUACACGAGGUUGAUAGUACCGAAAGAGGAAGGGACGGCUAACUCUGUGCCAGCAGCCGCGGUAAUACAGAGGUCCCGAGCGUUGUUCGGAUUUACUGGGCGUAAAGGGUGCGUAGGUGGUGGGGUAAGUCUGAUGUGAAAUCUCAGAGCCCAACUCUGAAAUGGCAUCGGAUACUAUCCUGCUCGAGGAUGGGAGGGGAGACUGGAAUUCUCGGUGUAGCAGUGAAAUGCGUAGAUAUCGAGAGGAACACCAGUGGCGAAGGCGAGUCUCUGGACCAUACCUGACGCUGAGGCACGAAAGCCAGGGGAGCAAACGGGAUUAGAUACCCCAGUAGUCC
rnacentral:rRNA from 1 species